UCAAGAGCAGCAGGGCGAGGCAGGG
rnacentral:piRNA from 1 species